GCAAACUUGGUCAUUUAGAGGAAGUAAAAGUCGUAACAAGGUUUCCGUAGGUGAACCUGCGGAAGGAUCAUUAUCGAAUUUGAAGGGGCUCGGGUUGUAGCUGGUCUCUCGGGACAGGUGCUCGCCCUUGCUCUCUUACACCCACACACCCUGUGCACUCUUGCGUGGGUCGCGUCGACUUUGUUCGGCGCGCUCGCGACUUUAUACAAACCCCCCUGUAUGUUUUAGAAUGUCUCUGCGUACCUACGCAACCUAGUACAACUUUCAACAACGGAUCUCUUGGCUCUCGCAUCGAUGAAGAACGCAGC
rnacentral:misc_RNA from 1 species